rnacentral:rRNA from 1 species
GACAGAGGGUGCAAACGUUGCUCGGAAUUACUGGGCGUAAAGCGCGUGUAGGCGGUUCCGCAAGUCAGGUGUGAAAGCCCAGGGCUCAACCCUGGAAGUGCACUUGAUACUACGGAGCUUGAGUACUGAAGAGGAGAGCGGAAUUCCCGGUGUAGAGGUGAAAUUCGUAGAUAUCGGGAGGAACACCAGUGGCGAAGGCGGCUCACUGGCCCGGUACUGACGCUGAGGUGCGAAAGCGUGGGGAGCAAACAGG